rnacentral:rRNA from 1 species
CCUACGGGAGGCAGCAGUGGGGAAUAUUGGACAAUGGGCGAAAGCCUGAUCCAGCCAUGCCGCGUGUGUGAAGAAGGCCUUCGGGUUGUAAAGCACUUUCAGUGGGGAAGAAAGCCUUGGGGCUAAUACCCUCGAGGAAGGACAUCACCCACAGAAGAAGCACCGGCUAACUCCGUGCCAGCAGCCGCGGUAAUACGGAGGGUGCGAGCGUGAAUCGGAAUUACUGGGCGUAAAGCGCGCGUAGGCGGUCUGAUAAGCCGGUUGUGAAAGCCCCGGGCUCAACCUGGGAACGGCAUCCGGAACUGUCAGGCUAGAGUGCAGGAGAGGAAGGUAGAAUUCCCGGUGUAGCGGUGAAAUGCGUAGAGAUCGGGAGGAAUACCAGUGGCGAAGGCGGCCUUCUGGACUGACACUGACGCUGAGGUGCGAAAGCGUGGGUAGCAAACAGGAUUAGAUACCCUAGUAGU